GGAAGUAAAAGUCGUAACAAGGUUUCCGUAGGUGAACCUGCGGAAGGAUCAUUAUUGAAAUAAAUCUGAUAAGUUGUUGCUGGUUCUCUAGGGAGCAUUGUGCAUACUUGUCGUUUUAUCAUUUCUUCACCUGUGCACCUUCUGUAGACUUUUGGAUAUCUUUCUGAUGCUUUUAUGCAAUCAGUUGUGAAGAUUGAUGGUUGUCUUUCUUUAUAUUUCCAGGUCUAUGUUCAUUAUAUUUUGAACCCGAUGUAUAUAUGGUGUAUAUGUAUAGGCGCAAUGCCUUUUUAAAUACAACUUUCAGCAAUGGAUCUCUUGGCUCUCGCAUCGAUGAAGAACGCAGCGAAAUGCGAUAAGUAAUGUGAAUUGCAGAAUUCAGUGAAUCAUCGAAUCUUUGAACGCACCUUGCGCUCCUUGGUAUUCUGAGGAGCAUGCCUGUUUGAGUGUCAUUAAUAUAUAUAUCAACCUCACUUUGUUGAGUGCUUGGAAGUUGAGGGUUGCUGGGGACUCCUUUGGAAAAAGGGGAGGGUCAGCUCCUUUGAAAUAUAUUAGGAGAACAAUUUGUGGACCUGUUCACUGGUGUGAUACAUUUAUCUGCACUGUUGAUGUGGUGCAACAAGUUGUAGUCUUUUGACAAAUUUUAUUAAUGUGACCUCAAAUCAGGUAGGACUACCCGCUGAACUUAAGCAUAUCAAUAAGCGGAGGAACAGAAACUAACAAGGAUUCCCCUAGUAACUGCGAGUGAAGCGGGAAAAGCUCAAAUUUAAAAUCUGGUAGUCUUUUUGGCUAUCCGAGUUGUAAUCUAGAGAAGUGUUAUCUGCGCUGGACCGUGUAUAAGUCUCCUGGAAUGGAGCGUCAUAGAGGGUGAGAAUCCCGUCUUUGACACGGACUACCAGGGCUUUUGUGAUGCACUCUCAAAGAGUCGAGUUGUUUGGGAAUGCAGCUCAAAAUGGGUGGUAAAUUCCAUCUAAAGCUAAAUAUUGGCGAGAGACCGAUAGCGAACAAGUACCGUGAGGGAAAGAUGAAAAGAACUUUGGAAAGAGAGUUAAACAGUACGUGAAAUUGCUGAAAGGGAAACGCUUGAAGUCAGUCGCGUUGUCCAGGAAUCAACCUUGCUUUUGCUUGGUGUACUUUCUGGUUGACGGGUCAAUAUCAAUUUUAAUCAUUGGAGACAUCUUAAUGGAAUGUAGCAUCUUUGGAUGUGUUAUAGCCUUUAUUUUAUAUACAAUGGUUGGGAUUGAGGAACUCAGCACGCCAUAAGGCCGAGUUUUGUUACAAAACUACGUACGUGCUUAGGAUGUUGGCAUAAUGGCUUUAAUCGACCCGUCUUGAAA
rnacentral:rRNA from 1 species